rnacentral:rRNA from 1 species
CUGUGGGAGAGAUUGCUAAUCCGCAUCCACCUGAGGGGAAAUGGGGAAUGCUAGCUCAUGCUAUGAUCGGCGAAUUUUGAUAGCUAGUUGGUGGGUAAAGCCACCAUGCGACGAUCAGUAGCGUCUGAGAGGACGAUCAGCACACUGGACUGAGACACAGCAGACUCUACGGAGGCAGCAGUGGGGAUUUGACAUGGCGAAGCCUGAUCCAGCAUGCGCGUGUGUGAAGAAUGCUUCGGGUUGUAAAGCACUUUUGUCCGGAAAGAAAUGGCUCUGGUUAAUACCUGGGGUCGAUGACGGUACCGGAAGAAUAAGGACCGGCUAACUACGUGCAGCAGCCGCGGUAAUACGUAGGGUCAAGCGUUAAUCGGAAUUACUGGGCGUAAAGCGUGCGCAGGCGGGUUGUGCAAGACCGAUGUGAAAUCCCCGAGCUUAACUUGGGAAUUGCACAGGUGACUGCACGGCUAGAGUGUGUCAGAGGGGGGUAGAAUUCCACGUGUAGCAGUGAAAUGCGUAGAGAUGUGGAGGAAUACCGGUGGCGAAGGCAGCCCCCUGGGAUAACACUGACGCUCAUGCACGAAAGCGUGGGGAGCAAACAGGAUUAGAUACCCUGGUAGUCCACGCCCUAAACGAUGUCAACUAGUUGUUGGGGAUUCAUUUCCUUAGUAACGUAGCUAACGCGUGAAGUUGACCGCCUGGGGAGUACGGUCGCAAGAUUAAAACUCAAAGGAAUUGACGGGGACCCGCACAAGCGGUGGAUGAUGUGGAUUAAUUCGAUGCAACGCGAAAAACCUUACCUACCCUUGACAUGCCACUAACGAAGCAGAGAUGCAUUAGGUGCUCGAAAGAGAAAGAGGACACAGGUGCUGCAUGGCUGUCGUCAGCUCGUGUCGUGAGAUGUUGGGUUAAGUCCCGCAACGAGCGCAACCCUUGUCUCUAGUUGCUACGAAAGGGCACUCUAGAGAGACUGCCGGUGACAAACCGGAGGAAGGUGGGGAUGACGUCAAGUCCUCAUGGCCCUUAUGGGUAGGGCUUCACACGUCAUACAAUGGUGCAUACAGAGGGUUGUCAAGCCGCGAGGUGGAGCUAAUCCCAGAAAAUGCAUCGUAGUCCGGAUCGUAGUCUGCAACUCGGCUACGUGAAGCUGGAAUCGCUAGUAAUCGCGGAUCAGAUGCUGCGUGAAUAACCC